CCUACGGGAGGCAGCAGUAAGGAAUAUUGGUCAAUGGAGGCAACUCUGAACCAGCCAUGCCGCGUGCAGGAAGACAGCCCUCUGGGUCGUAAACUGCUUUUAUUCGGGAAUAAACCUAUCUACGUGUAGAUAGCUGAAUGUACCGAAGGAAUAAGGAUCGGCUAACUCCGUGCCAGCAGCCGCGGUAAUACGGAGGAUCCAAGCGUUAUCCGGAUUUAUUGGGUUUAAAGGGUGCGUAGGCGGCCUGUUAAGUCAGGGGUGAAAGACGGUAGCUCAACUAUCGCAGUGCCCUUGAUACUGAUGGGCUUGAAUACACUAGAGGUAGGCGGAAUGUGACAAGUAGCGGUGAAAUGCAUAGAUAUGUCACAGAACACCGAUUGCGAAGGCAGCUUACUAUGGUGUCAUUGACGCUGAGGCACGAAAGCGUGGGGAUCAAACAGGAUUAGAUACCCUGGUAGUCCACGCCCUAAACGAUGAAUACUCGCUGUUGGCGAUAUACAGUCAGCGGCUAAGCGAAAGCGUUAAGUAUUCCACCUGGGGAGUUACGCUUCGCAAGAGUUGAAACUUAAUUGAAUUGACGGCUUGGGAGAGCGACGGACGACGACGACGGAGGAGGAG
rnacentral:rRNA from 1 species